UACGUAGGGCGCAAGCGUUGUCCGGAAUUAUUGGGCGUAAAGAGCUCGUAGGCGGCUUGUCACGUCGGGUGUGAAAGCCCGGGGCUUAACCCCGGGUCUGCAUUCGAUACGGGCAGGCUAGAGUGUGGUAGGGGAGAUCGGAAUUCCUGGUGUAGCGGUGAAAUGCGCAGAUAUCAGGAGGAACACCGGUGGCGAAGGCGGAUCUCUGGGCCAUUACUGACGCUGAGGAGUGAAAGCGUGGGGAGCGAACAGG
rnacentral:rRNA from 1 species